rnacentral:tRNA from 1 species
GGGAAUGUGGCUCAAGUGGUAGAGUGCUUGCCUAGCAUGCAUGAAGCCCUGGGUUCGAUUCCUCAGUACCA